rnacentral:tRNA from 2 species
AGGGCUAUAGCUCAAUUGGUAGAGCACCGGUCUCCAAAACCGGCGGUUGGGGGUUCAAGUCCCUCUGGCCCUG